ACGAAAAUAACAAACGAAAGAAUAAUUUAAAUCGUCACAUAAAUAAUAAACAAAUUUACAAUCCCACUGAAAACAUAUUUAACGAAGUCUAUGGUUUUAAUUACAAAUCAUCUGAUAGUGAUUCAUCUCUAAGUUUUAAAGAGGUAACACCGAUGCAAGCAAAUAGUGAUGAUUUUUAUCAAUCCUUUUUAUAUAAAAGUGUUGAAAAUCUGGACAAUAUAACGACAGAGUUUGAACGUAGUUACGAAGAAGAAAAAGCAAAAAUAAAUAACUCUGACAUGGACAUACAAAAUGACCAUAUAAAUAACAAACAGUUAUUAAAUAACGAACAGUUAUUAAAUAAUAACAAAAUAGAUAUAAAUUCGAUCACAAAAGGGUUAAACCAUCCUAAUUUUAUUAACUAUGAAAUUGAUAAAAAAUGGAAUGGUUUAGAUCUUGCAAUGAACUCUGAAUAUGGUACAAACAGGAAUGAUAUCACAAAGAAGGAUGACAGUGGAUCAGACCGAUAUGUGCGCAAAAUAAAAAAUAAAGAAAAUGCCAAACUAACAGUAGAAGAAAAAGAAUUAAUUUUUAAAGGGCAAAAAUUAGGAACCAGUCAUGAAAAUAAUAGUAGCAAUAAUAAAGACACCUAUGUAACAGAUAAAGCUGAACAUAAUAAUUAUUAUGCCACUAAAAUGUUAUCACAUAUUUAUACACAAGAAGAUAAUGGACAUAAAAACGAUCAUUUAAAAAACGAUUUUUUAAAAAACAAUCUUUUUAAUAAAAAAUUGUUUUUGUCUAAUAAUAAAUACGAUUUAGAUUCAAACAAUUUUAUUUCAAAUAACGAUAUAAAAAAUGAUAAUUCGUUAAAAACACCAAUAAAUAGUUAUAACAGUAAUAAACAAUUAGAAAAAAUAAAGUAUCCACUAUUGAACAUAAACAAUAGCACAAAUGUUGCAUCUGUUGAUUUGGGUAUGUGUAAUAGAUAUAGUAACAUUAAUGAAGCUAAUAUAAAAUCAGAAGAAGAAGCAGAAGAAGAAGAAGAAGAAGAAAAAGAACGAAACAAAAAAAAAAGGUACUAUGAAAAGAGCAGCAGUGACAGUGACAGUAGUAGUAAUAGUGGUAGUACUAGUAGUAGUGAUAGUGAUGAAAAUAACGAAAGUAACAGAGAUAAUGAUGACAAUAGUAACGGAAACAUAAAUUAUAAUAGCGAGAAUAACGGAAAUAAUAAAGGCCAAAAUAGAGGCAAUAACAAGGGCCACAAUGGCAACAAUAAUAAAAACCACAAUGGCAGCAAUAACAAGAACCACAAUGGCAGCAAUAACAAGAACCACAAUGGCAACAAUACUAAGGGUCAAAAUGGAAGCAAUUCUGAAGGCUACAAUGACAGCAAUAAUAACUCCAUUUACAAUUCAAACUACAUCGAGCGAUUUAACUCUAUUAUUAGUACGUAUUCAUGGUCUCCUGAAAAUUUAAAAGAGGAAUCAAUAGAAACUAUUAUAAAUAAAGCUAAUAGUAGUGUUAAUGAUAAUAACAGUGAAAGUAGCGAAACAUCAUCAAAUACUGAUAUUUUUGUUAAAAAUGCAUUGGAAUUACAAUCUGAUUCUAACACAUCUUCUGAUAAUAUUUAUGAGAAGAAUGUAAAAAAUAAAUAUAGUAAUUUAAAACGUUACCUAAAAAUCAACAAAGAAAAACAAAAUGAAAAUUCUAUAUACAAAACUAGAGUUGAUCAUAUAAAAAAAAUAAAAAAAACAAGUUUAACCGAGUCAUUUAUUGAUAUAAUUGAAGGAGCAAAUGGAAGUAAUAUUUUCCGUAUGAAUACGCUUAGCAAUAAUGUACAUGCUAGUAUACAAAAACAAGCUAAUAAAUAUGCAUUUUCAAAUAAAAAAAAUCAAAAUAUGCAAAAAAAUAAGCAAAAAAAUAAAAAAGUUUUGAAAAAAAAACAAACUAAUUCACAGUUGUAUAAUAAUUCCAAUUUUUCUUAUAACAGUAAUGAUGAAAACAAUUUAAAUAGCGGUAUACGAACAUAUUUACCAAAAAAUAGCAACCCUGAUAAAUGUACAAACAAUUCAAACAUUAGUUAUGAAUGUCGUGACGAUAUAACGACAUGUUCCACAGACGAUGUAUUACAUAAUGAAUCCGACAGUGCUGCAUUAACAAAUGUUAUCAUAAAUGCCAGUUUUAGUACAAGCUCUAAUACCAGUUCCAGUGUCGUUAGUAAGAAAAAUAACCAAAAAGUAAAAAAAAAACAACCAAAAUAUGAUCAAACAACAAAUUAUUCAAAAACAAAAGCUAACAAACAAAACUUACCAGUACAAAAUUUAGAUACUUCGAAUAAUAGAAACAUAAAUUUUGAUUUGUUUGAUUACCAAAACCCCCCUAGCGACAAAACUACGAACCUAACUAGCGACAAAACUAUUAGCCUAACUAGCGACAAAACUACCAGCCUAAAUAGCGACAAAACUACCAGCCCUACUAGCAACAAAACUACCAGCCUAACUAGCCACAAAACUACCAACCUAACUAGCGACAAAACUACCAGCCCUACUAGCGACAAAACUACCAGCCUAACUAGCAACAACAGUAAUCUUACCAGUGCCCCUAGCAACAUCAAUAAUAACGCAUUCGAUCAAGAUAAUAGUUACUCCAUCUUUUAUAGUAACACUAAGCAUGUAAUGGACAAUAAAAAUAAUACGAACAGUGAAAAAUAUACUAACUUGAGUAGUUAUAUAAGCGCCAAUUCGAACAAAACCAUAUAUACCAAUGCUAAUUCCAACGAUAUACAAAAUAAAAACAAGACCAACAAACAUAACCAAAUAAACACUUUUCAACAACCAAAAGAAAUAAAACAAAUUCAGCAAAAACUAGACGAACAAACACAAACUAAAGAAUACAAUACAAAUCCCAACCUUAAAAGUAAUUCUAAAUUGUCCUUAAAUUCUCAUAAUACAUUUAAUAGUAGCGAAUACCAAGAAACAAACCCAUGUGAUUAUUCUUCAGAUAUUAUACAAAGUAAUAAAAAUAUUAUUGUACCUAAUAGGGUUCCUUUUUUAUUUUUUCACUUAUUGCAUGCCUUUGUGUACUCGCUGUACCAUUGUUUGAUAUAUUAUCAUUAUAUUUUGAUUCAAAUGAAAAAU
rnacentral:lncRNA from 1 species